AUACGUAGGGUGCGAGCGUUAAUCGGAAUUACUGGGCGUAAAGCGUGCGCAGGCGGUUUUGCAAGUCAGAUGUGAAAGCCCCGGGCUCAACCUGGGAACUGCGUUUGAAACUGCAAGGCUAGAGUACGGGAGAGGGAGGUAGAAUUCCACGUGUAGCAGUGAAAUGCGUAGAGAUGUGGAGGAAUACCAAUGGCGAAGGCAGCCUCCUGGCCUGAUACUGACGCUCAUGCACGAAAGCGUGGGGAGCAAACAGGAUUAGAUACCCUGGUAGUCCACGCCCUAAACGAUGUCAACUAGUUGUUGGGGGAGUAAAAUCCCUUAGUAACGCAGCUAACGCGUGAAGUUGACCGCCUGGGGAGUACGGUCGCAAGAUUAAA
rnacentral:rRNA from 1 species